GAUGAACGCUGGCGGCGUGCCUAAUACAUGCAAGUCGAGCGAACGGACGAGAAGCUUGCUUUUCUGAUGUUAGCGGCGGACGGGUGAGUAACACGUGGAUAACCUACCUAUAAGACUGGGAUAACUUCGGGAAACCGGAGCUAAUACCGGAUAAUAUUUUGAACCGCAUGGUUCAAAAGUGAAAGACGGUCUUGCUGUCACUUAUAGAUGGAUCCGCGCUGCAUUAGCUAGUUGGUAAGGUAACGGCUUACCAAGGCAACGAUGCAUAGCCGACCUGAGAGGGUGAUCGGCCACACUGGAACUGAGACACGGUCCAGACUCCUACGGGAGGCAGCAGUAGGGAAUCUUCCGCAAUGGGCGAAAGCCUGACGGAGCAACGCCGCGUGAGUGAUGAAGGUCUUCGGAUCGUAAAACUCUGUUAUUAGGGAAGAACAUAUGUGUAAGUAACUGUGCACAUCUUGACGGUACCUAAUCAGAAAGCCACGGCUAACUACGUGCCAGCAGCCGCGGUAAUACGUAGGUGGCAAGCGUUAUCCGGAAUUAUUGGGCGUAAAGCGCGCGUAGGCGGUUUUUUAAGUCUGAUGUGAAAGCCCACGGCUCAACCGUGGAGGGUCAUUGGAAACUGGAAAACUUGAGUGCAGAAGAGGAAAGUGGAACUCCAUGUGUAGCGGUGAAAUGCGCAGAGAUGUGGAGGAACACCAGUGGCGGAGGCGACUUUCUGGUCUGUAACUGACGCUGAUGUGCGAAAGCGUGGGGAUCAAACAGGAUUAGAUACCCUGGUAGUCCACGCCGUAAACGAUGAGUGCUAAGUGUUAGGGGGUUUCCGCCCCUUAGUGCUGCAGCUAACGCAUUAAGCACUCCGCCUGGGGAGUACGACCGCAAGGUUGAAACUCAAAGGAAUUGACGGGGGCCCGCACAAGCGGUGGAGCAUGUGGUUUAAUUCGAAGCGACGCGAAGAGCCUUACCAAAUCUUGACAUCCUUUGACAACUCUAGAGAUAGAGCCUUCCCCUUCAGGGGACAAAGUGACAGGUGGUGCAUGGUUGUCGUCAGCUCGUGUCGUGAGAUGUUGGGUUAAGCCCCGCAACGAGCGCAACCCUUAAGCUUAGUUGCCAUCAUUAAGUUGGGCACUCUAAGUUGACUGCCGGUGACAAACCGGAGGAAGGUGGGGAUGACGUCAAAUCAUCAUGCCCCUUAUGAUUUGGGCUACACACGUGCUACAAUGGACAAUACAAAGGGCAGCGAAACCGCGAGGUCAAGCAAAUCCCAUAAAGUUGUUCUCAGUUCGGAUUGUAGUCUGCAACUCGACUACAUGAAGCUGGAAUCGCUAGUAAUCGUAGAUCAGCAUGCUACGGUGAAUACGUUCCCGGGUCU
rnacentral:rRNA from 1 species